rnacentral:misc_RNA from 1 species
GGGGGAGUAUCUAUGACUCUCUUAA